UCCAGUCUUGGACGUUUUUCCUCCAGUUUGUGACGUCAUAGAAGUCUGUGGGUUGAUAAUCAUAUGCCCAUUAUAAUAGUCGCCUAGGAUUGGAUGGUAUAUAAAAGAGUGGUUAAUAUCUAACUCCAGUCUUUUUCAAUUGUGUUUUAUUCUCAAAGGUAGUGCCUAACUGCUCAAGGCUUUGGUUAAAGAAAACAUUUCAUAGCUCCUGUUAUCUUUCUUAAGGAUGAGUUCCUCUACAGCAUAUCAGAAUAUUCUCCUUACUCUUUUCAUAUGCAUUCUUGGUUUUGCAUUUUCUGCUCCAGACCCAACAGACAAUGCGGAAGUGGGUGCUCAUGAAAAUGGAGGACAAUUGGCUUACAUUCUUGCAAAGCGCUCAAGUCAAAUGCCUAUAAUUCCUCCACCAAAUAUUUACCAGAAAAGAUUUUCAACAUUUUUCAAUCGACAAGCUGAAAAUAAACGGGCCGGAGACGGUUAUUGGAUCUGGAUGCCAGCUCAUGGAUAUAUGGCCGUUCCCCGAGAUGAAGCUAUGGAAGAUGCUGGAGGUCGUGAUGGCAUGAAUAAUCUUUUAAGAUACGGCAAAAAAUAAACUGUCUCCAGUUUUAUAAAUAUGAGUGUUUGUUUAAUGAAAGCAAUACAUGAUAAAAAAAAGAAAAUAAAUGUUGACUUUAAUUUCUUAAAAAAAAUAAUUGUUAUCAUGAGAUUAUCUGAACAUUUUAAAGACAUUGUUUUAAACUUUCAUUGGAACAUAAAUUUUUAUAAAGAGUC